rnacentral:SRP_RNA from 1 species
GCUGGGCGUGGUGGCGGGCGCCUGUAGUCCCGGCUACUUGGGAGGCUGAGGCAAAAGAAUUGCUUGAAUCCGGGAGUCAGAGAUUGCAGUGAGCUGCGAUCGCGCCACUGCACUCCAGCCUGGGCAACAGAGCGAGAUUCUGUCUCAA